rnacentral:rRNA from 1 species
UGGGGAAUAUUGCACAAUGGGCGCAAGCCUGAUGCAGCCAUGCCGCGUGUGUGAAGAAGGCCUUCGGGUUGUAAAGCACUUUCAGCGGGGAGGAAGGCGGUGAGGUUAAUAACCUCAUCGAUUGACGUUACCCGCAGAAGAAGCACCGGCUAACUCCGUGCCAGCAGCCGCGGUAAUACGGAGGGUGCAAGCGUUAAUCGGAAUUACUGGGCGUAAAGCGCACGCAGGCGGUCUGUCAAGUCAGAUGUGAAAUCCCCGGGCUCAACCUGGGAACUGCAUCUGAUACUGGCAAGCUUGAGUCUCGUAGAGGGGGGUAGAAUUCCAGGUGUAGCGGUGAAAUGCGUAGAGAUCUGGAGGAAUACCGGUGGCGAAGGCGGCCCCCUGGACGAAGACUGACGCUCAGGUGCGAAAGCGUGGGGAGCAAACAGG